UGGGGGAUAUUGCACAAUGGGGGAAACCCUGAUGCAGCGACGCCGCGUGAGUGAAGGAGUAUUUCGGUAUGUAAAGCUCUAUCAGCAGGGAAGAAAGUGACAGUACCUGACUAAGAAGCCCCGGCUAACUACGUGCCAGCAGCCGCGGUAAUACGUAGGGGGCAAGCGUUAUCCGGAUUUACUGGGUGUAAAGGGAGCGUAGACGGCGAUGUAAGUCUGGAGUGAAAGCCCGCGGCCCAACUGCGGGACUGCUCUGGAAACUGUGUUGCUAGAGUACAGGAGGGGCAGGCGGAAUUCCUGGUGUAGCGGUGAAAUGCGUAGAUAUCAGGAGGAACACCGGCGGCGAAGGCGGCCUGCUGGACUGCAACUGACGUUGAGGCUCGAAAGCGUGGGGAGCAAACAGGAUUAGAUACCC
rnacentral:rRNA from 1 species